GCCAGGUGUGGUGGCCCACGCCUGUCAUCCCAGAAGCUCAGGAGGCUGAGGCAGGAGGAUGGUGAAUUCAAAGCCAGCCUCAGAAAAAGCAAGAUGCUAAGCACCUCAGUGAGAUCCUGUCUCUA
rnacentral:sRNA from 1 species